CCACCCGCCCCGUCCACAUNAUGAAAGCCGCUUGUACCCGAAGUCACUGUGCCAACCCGCAAGGAGGCAGGUGCCGAAGGUAUGGGUGGUGGUUGGGAUG
rnacentral:rRNA from 1 species